AUUGAACGCUGGCGGCAUGCCUUACACAUGCAAGUCGAACGGCAGCACGGACUUCGGUCUGGUGGCGAGUGGCGAACGGGUGAGUAAUGUAUCAGAACGUACCUUUCAGUGGGGGAUAACGUAGCGAAAGUUACGCUAAUACCGCAUAUUCUGUGAGCAGGAAAGCAGGGGAUCGCAAGACCUUGCGCUGAUUGAGCGGCCGAUAUCAGAUUAGCUAGUUGGUGGGGUAAAGGCCUACCAAGGCUACGAUCUGUAGCGGGUCUGAGAGGAUGAUCCGCCACACUGGAACUGAGACACGGUCCAGACUCCUACGGGAGGCAGCAGUGGGGAAUUUUGGACAAUGGGCGAAAGCCUGAUCCAGCCAUGCCGCGUGAAGGAUGAAGGCGCUCUGCGUUGUAAACUUCUUUUGGAUGGGAAUAAUAAUCAAGACUUGUCUUGACUUGAAGGUACCAUCAGAAUAAGCACCGGCUAACUCCG
rnacentral:rRNA from 1 species